rnacentral:rRNA from 1 species
GAUGAACGCUGGCGGCGUGCCUAACACAUGCAAGUCGAGCGAAGCAUUUUAAAGGAAGUUUUCGGAUGGAAUUUGAAAUGACUGAGCGGCGGACGGGUGAGUAACGCGUGGGUAACCUGCCUCAUACAGGGGGAUAACAGUUAGAAAUGACUGCUAAUACCGCAUAAGCGCACAGCUUCGCAUGAAGCAGUGUGAAAAACUGAGGUGGUACGAGAUGGGCCCGCGUUGGAUUAGGUAGUUGGUGGGGUAACGGCCUACCAAGCCGACGAUCCAUAGCCGACCUGAGAGGGUGACCGGCCACAUUGGGACUGAGACACGGCCCAA